UACGAAGGGGGCUAGCGUUGCUCGGAAUCACUGGGCGUAAAGGGUGCGUAGGCGGGCCUUUAAGUCAGGGGUGAAAUCCUGGAGCUCAACUCCAGAACUGCCUUUGAUACUGAGGAUCUUGAGUUCGGGAGAGGUGAGUGGAACUGCGAGUGUAGAGGUGAAAUUCGUAGAUAUUCGCAAGAACACCAGUGGCGAAGGCGGCUCACUGGCCCGGUACUGACGCUGAUGUGCGAAAGCGUGGGGAGCAAACAGG
rnacentral:rRNA from 1 species